rnacentral:rRNA from 1 species
GCCUACGGGGGGCAGCAGUAGGGAAUUUUCGUCAAUGGGCGCAAGCCUGAACGAGCAAUGCCGCGUGAACGAGGAAGGUCUUCGGAUCGUAAAGUUCUGUUGGAGGGGAAAAAGAGCGGAGAGAGGAAAUGGUCUCCGAUUGAUAUUACCCUUCGAGGAAGUCACGGCUAACUACGUGCCAGCAGCCGCGGUAAUACGUAGGUGGCGAGCGUUAUCCGGAAUGAUUGGGCGUAAAGGGUGCGUAGGCGGCCUGCUAAGUCUGGAGUGAAAGGUACCGGCUCAACCGGUACAGGCUCUGGAAACUG